rnacentral:tRNA from 1 species
GAGGACUUAGCUUAAGUGAAAGCGCCUGGCUUGCAUCCAGGAGAUGUAAGGUGACUCUUGCAGUCUUUG